rnacentral:rRNA from 1 species
AUUGAACGCUGGCGGCAUGCCUAACACAUGCAAGUCGAACGAGUGGCGGACGGGUGAGUAAUGUAUGGGAACCUGCCUCAUGGAGGGGGAUAACUACUCGAAACGGUAGCUAAUACUGCAUACCAUUCGCUCUGCCCAGAUGGGAUUAGCUAGUUGGGUGGGUAACGGCUCACCAAGGCGACGAUCCCUAGCUGGUCUGAGAGGAUGACCGGCCACACUGGAACUGAGACACGGUCCAGACUCCUACGGGAGGCAGCAGUGGGGAAUAUUGGACAAUGGGCGAAAGCCUGAUGCAGCCAUGCCGCGUGUAUGAAGAAGGCCUUCGGGUUGGAAAGUACUUUCAGCGGAGAGGCGUUACCUGCAGAGUAAGCACCGGCUAACUCCGUGCCAGCAGCCGCGGUAAUUC